rnacentral:rRNA from 1 species
CGCAGUAAUGCGUUCAGCUAACUGAUACUAAUUGCCCGUAAGGCUUGAUCCUAUAACA